UACGGGGGGGGGUAAGCGUUGUUCGGAAUUACUGGGCGUAAAGGGCUCGUAGGCGGCCAACUAAGUCAGACGUGAAAUCCCUCAGCUUAACUGGGGAACUGCGUCUGAUACUGGAUGGCUUGGAUUCGGGAGAGGAAUGCGGAAUUCCAGGUGUAGCGGUGAAAUGCGUAGAUAUCCGGAGGAACACCGGUGGCGAAGGCGGCUUCCUGGACCGACACUGACGCUGAGGCGCGAAAGCUAGGGGAGCAAACGGG
rnacentral:rRNA from 1 species